rnacentral:rRNA from 1 species
CUUAGUAACGGCGAGUGAAGCGGUAAAAGCUCAAAUUUGAAAUCUGGUACUUUCAGUGCCCGAGUUGUAAUUUGUAGAAUUUGUCUUUGAUUAGGUCCUUGUCUAUGUUCCUUGGAACAGGACGUCAUAGAGGGUGAGAAUCCCGUUUGGCGAGGAUACCUUUUCUCUGUAAGACUUUUUCGAAGAGUCGAGUUGUUUGGGAAUGCAGCUCAAAGUGGGUGGUAAAUUCCAUCUAAAGCUAAAUAUUGGCGAGAGACCGAUAGCGAACAAGUACAGUGAUGGAAAGAUGAAAAGAACUUUGAAAAGAGAGUGAAAAAGUACGUGAAAUUGUUGAAAGGGAAGGGCAUUUGAUCAGACAUGGUGUUUUUUGCAUGCACUCGCCUCUCGUGGGCUUGGGCCUCUCAAAAAUUUCACUGGGCCAACAUCAAUUCUGGCAGCAGGAUAAAUCAUUAAGAAUGUAGCUACUUCGGUAGUGUUAUAGCUUUUUGGAAUACUGUUAGCCGGGAUUGAGGACUGCGCUUCGGCAAGGAUGUUGGCAUAAUGGUUAAAUGCCGCCCGUCUUGAAACACGGACC